AUUAAUGAGAAAUGGAGGAAAAACAAAAGUCAGAGAAAACCUGUGAUGAAAAUAGAGGAGAAUCCCGCAAGGAAGCCUGGAAACCCGCUCCAAGAGGGAGACCAAAUCUGUCCAGCACCAGGCUACGAGGAUGUCAAAGCCGCUGGGGAUUAAAAGAGAUACACCAAGACACAGAAAGAUUUCAUAGUCAAAAGUGGUGAGAGCAGCAAGCUCUUAGAAACAGAUAUGGUUCUCAGACACCUAUUAAGG